UACGGAGGGUGCAAGCGUUAUCCGGAUUCACUGGGUUUAAAGGGUGCGUAGGCGGUCAUGUAAGUCAGUGCUGAAAUAUCCCGGCUUAACCGGGAGGGUGGCAUUGAUACUGUAUGACUUGAGUAAAGUUGAGGUUGGCGGAAUUGACGGUGUAGCGGUGAAAUGCUUAGAUAUCGUCAAGAACACCUAUUGCGAAGGCAGCUAACUAAGCUUUAACUGACGCUGAGGCACGAAAGUGUGGGGAUCAAACAGG
rnacentral:rRNA from 1 species